rnacentral:rRNA from 2 species
UUAUUAGAGAGUUUGAUCCUGGCUCAGGAUUAAUGCUGGCGGCGUGCCUAAUACAUGCAAGUCGAACGGGAGUUUACCGGCAAUAUGCGGCUAAGGGUAACUUUAGCUGUAUGAUGUUGGUUGAUUUUAGUGGCGAACGGGUGAGUAAUGCAUGGACAACCUGCCUUAAAGAGGGAAAUAAUCCCGAGAAAUCGGGACUAAUGUCCCAUAAGACCACAGAUACGCAUGUUUCAGUGGUUAAAAACUGCGAUGUUGAAUCGUGGCGCUUCAAGAAGGAUCCAUGUCCUAUCAGCUAGUUGGUGUGGUAAAGGCGCACCAAGGCUAUGACGGGUAGCCGGUCUUAGAGGGUGUACGGCCACAAUGGGAUUGAGAUACGGCCCAUACUCCUACGGGAGGCAGCAGUAAGGAAUUUUCCACAAUGCCCGAAAGGGUGAUGGAGCGACGCCGCGUGGGUGAUGAAGGUCUUCGGAUUGUAAAACCCUUUUGUAAAGGAUGAACUUACAGUACUUUACGAAUAAGCUUCGGCCAACUCUGUGCCAGCAGCCGCGGUAAGACAGAGGAAGCAAGCAUUAUCCGGAAUGACUGGGUGUAAAAUGUGUGUAGGUGGUUAAAUAAGUCAAAUGUGAAAUCCCGAUGCUUAACAUCGGAACUGCAUUUGAUACUGUUUAUCUUGAGUUCGAGCGAGGAGGGCGGAAUUCCCGGUGGAGCGGUGAAAUGCGUUGAGAUCGGGAGGAACACCAAUGGCGAAGGCAGCUUUCUAGCUCGAAACUGACACUGAGGCACGAAAGCUAGGGGAGCAAACAGGAUUAGAUACCCUGGUAGUCCUAGCUGUAAACUAUGGAUACUGGGUGUGGGUUCUUAAUGAAUCCGCGCCGAAGUUAACGCGUUAAGUAUCCUACCUGGGGAGUACAGUCGCAAGACCGAAACUCAAAGGAAUUGACGGGGGCUCGCACAAGCGGUGGAACACGUGGUUUAAUUCGAUGCUAAGCGAAAAACCUUACCGGGGUUUGACAUGCUGAUAGUACGAUCCUGAAAGGGAAAGGACCCGCCUUUGGCGGGAAUCAGCACAGGUGCUGCAUGGCUGUCGUCAGUUCGUGUCGUGAGAUGUUGGGUUAAGUCCCGUAACGAGCGCAACCCCUAUCUUUAGUUGUUCCGGUUAAUUCCGGGAAUCUCUAAAGAAACCGCCUCAGAUAAUGGGGAGGAAGGCGGGGAUGACGUCAAGUCCGCAUGGCCCUUAUGUCCCGGGCUACACACGUGUUACAAUGGGGCCGACAGAGAGUUGCAAGAUCGCAAGAUGGAGCUAAUCUCUAAACGGUCCCUUAGUUCAGAUUGUAGGCUGCAAUUCGCCUACAUGAAGUAGGAAUCGCUAGUAAUCGCGGAUCAGCAGGCCGCGGUGAAUACGUUCCCGAGCCUUGUACACACCGCCCGUCACACCAUGAAAGCUGGGAGUACCUGAAGUUCUGAGUAAUCGGAACAAGGGUAAAACCAGUAAUUGGGGUGAAGUCGUAACAAGGUAGCCGUAUCGGAAGGUGCGGCUGGAUCACCUCCUUUCUA